rnacentral:rRNA from 1 species
GACGUAGGGCGCGAGCGUUGUCCGGAUUUACUGGGCGUAAAGGGCGUGCAGGCGGUUUGUUAAGUGCAGAGUGAAAGCUCCCGGCUCAACUGGGAGAGGUCUUUGCAUACUGGCAAACUCGAGGGAGGCAGAGGAAAGUGGAAUUCCCGGUGUAGUGGUGAUAUGCGUAGAUAUCGGGAGGAACACCUGUGGCGAAGGCGGCUUUCUGGGCCUUACCUGACGCUGAGACGCGAAAGCGUGGGGAGCGAACCGG